AUACAGAGGGUGCAAGCGUUAAUCGGAAUUACUGGGCGUAAAGCGCUCGUAGGCGGCCUGUUAAGUCGGAUGUGAAAGCCCCGGGCUCAACCUGGGAACUGCAUUCGAAACUGGCAGGCUAGAGUAUAGUAGAGGCAAGUGGAAUUCCGGGUGUAGCGGUGAAAUGCGUAGAUAUCCGGAGGAACAUCAGUGGCGAAGGCGACUUGCUGGACUAAUACUGACGCUGAGGAGCGAAAGCGUGGGGAGCAAACAGGAUUAGAAACCCCGGUAGUCC
rnacentral:rRNA from 1 species